UACAUGGGGUGCAAACGUUGCUCGAAAUUAUUGGGCGUAAAGCGCACGUAGGCGGUUCGUUAAGUCGGAUGUGAAAGCCCUCGGCUCAACUGAGGAAGUGCACCCGAAACUGGCGAGCUUGAGUACGAAAAGAGGAUCGCGGAAUUCCCGGUGUAGAGGUGAAAUUCGUAGAUAUCGGGAGGAACACCGGUGGCGAAGGCGGCGAUCUGGGGUCGAUACUGACGCUGAGGUGCGAAAGCGUGGGGAGCAAACAGG
rnacentral:rRNA from 1 species